GAGGGCAUAGCUCAGUGGUAGAGCGUGUGCUUAGCAUGCACGAGGUCCUGGAUACAACCCCCAGCACCUCCA
rnacentral:tRNA from 1 species